rnacentral:rRNA from 1 species
UGGUCUGGAAACGGCUGCUAAUACCCCGUAAGCUGAGGAGCGAAAGGAGGAAUCCGCCCAAGGAGGGGCUCGCGUCUGAUUAGCUAGUUGGUGAGGUAAUAGCUUACCAAGGCGGUGAUCAGUAGCUGGUCCGAGAGGAUGAUCAGCCACACUGGGACUGAGACAAGGCCCAGACUCCUACGGGAGGCAGCAGUGGGGAAUUUUCCGCAAUGGGCGAAAGCCUGACGGAGCAAUGCCGCGUGGAGGUAAAAGGCCUACGGGUCAUGAACUUCUUUUCCUGGAGAAGAAACAAUGACGGUAUCUGGGGAAUAAGCAUCGGCUAACUCUGUGCCAGCAGCCGCGGUAAGACAGAGGAUGCAAGCGUUAUCCGGAAUGAUUGGGCGUAAAGCGUCUGUAGGUGGCUUUUUAAGUUCGCCGUCAAAUCCCAGGGCUCAACCCUGGACAGGUGGUGAAAACUACUAAGCUAGAGUACGGUAGGGGCAGAGGGAAUUUCCGGUGGAGCGAUGAAAUGCGUAGAGAUCGGAAGGAACACCAACGGCGAAAGCACUCUGCUGGGCCGACACUGACACUGAGAGACGAAAGCUAGGGGAGCGAAUGGGAUUAGAGGGUUAUGGACUGUUCUUCUUUGAAGGG